rnacentral:rRNA from 1 species
CAGCCGCCACGGUAAUACAGAGGGUGCAAGCGUUAAUCGGAAUUACUGGGCGUAAAGUGCGCGUAGGUGGUUUGUUAAGUUGGAUGUGAAAUCCCCGGGCUCAACCUGGGAACUGCAUCCAAAACUGGCAAGCUAGAGUAUGGUAGAGGGUGGUGGAAUUUCCUGUGUAGCGGUGAAAUGCGUAGAUAUAGGAAGGAACACCAGUGGCGAAGGCGACCACCUGGACUGAUACUGACACUGAGGUGCGAAAGCGUGGGGAGCAAACAGGAUUAGAUACCCCCGUAGUCCCUGUCUCUUAUAC